rnacentral:rRNA from 1 species
CCUACGGGAGGCAGCAGUGAGGAAUAUUGGUCAAUGGGCGGGAGCCUGAACCAGCCAAGUCGCGUGAGGGAAGACGGUCCUAUGGAUUGUAAACCUCUUUAGGCGGGGAGCAAUGCCGGGCACGUGUGCCCGGAGGGAGAGUACCCGCAGAAUAAGCAUCGGCUAACUCCGUGCCAGCAGCCGCGGUAAUACGGAGGAUGCGAGCGUUAUCCGGAUUUAGUGGGUUUAAGGGGUGCGUAGGCGGAUUUUUCAGUCAGCGGUAAAAUGUCCGGGCUCAACCCGGGCCGGCCGUUGAAACUGGGGAUCUUGAGUGGGCGAGAAGUAGGCGGAAUGCGUGGUGUAGCGGUGAAAUGCAUAGAUAUCACGCAGAACUCCGAUUGCGAAGGCAGCAUACCGGCGCCCGACUGACGCUGAGGCACGAAAGCGUGGGGAUCGAACAGGAUUAGAUACCCUGGUAGUC